UAGUCAUAUGCUUGUCUCAAAGACUAAGCCAUGCAUGUCUAAGUAUAAACACCUUUAUACUGCGAAACUGCGAACGGCUCAUUAUAUCAGUUAUAAUCUACUUGAUCGUAUCCUCUUACUUGGAUAACCGUAGUAAUUCUAGAGCUAAUACAUGCAAAAGAUCCCGACUGGUGACGGAAGGGAUGUAUUUAUUAGAUCCAAAAUCAAUGCUAUCCAUUUUGGGUAGGAAAAUUGAUGAUUCAUAAUAACUAAACGAAGCGCAGGCCUUUGGUGUCGG
rnacentral:rRNA from 1 species